ensembl:lncRNA novel transcript
AGACAGACUAUGAAGAGAUACAUAGGGUGAGAAACGGAGGCCUUCAGCCAACAGCUGGGAGAAGCUGAGUCCCAUCAGCCAUUCAAAAGACUGCAGCCCCAGCCAAGAGUUUGAUGUAACCUCAGGAGAGACCCUGAGCCAGAACCACCUAGGCCAACGAGCUAUACCUAGUGAUUCCAAAGUCCACAUAUAUUUACUCUGUUCUCACUGUACAAAGUAACCACUCUGAAGUCAAAAAAGCUGGGAUACAUGAAGACUGCCAUCCCUUGAGUCACUUGCCCUGUAGCUGCCACUGUUGGAAAAGGGCUUGCUUCUGUGUCCUUGUGCCCACUUUGAAAAUCCCUGGGAAGUCCUUGGAGUCAGAUGAGCAGGCCUCCGCCACUCUGCCAAAAAGUCUGUUCAAAAAAUAUGGGAGACCUCAAUCAGCUGAAGUUCAACAUGUUCAAAGGUGGACAAAGUUUCUCGUUGCUCUAACAGGAAGUUUCACAUCACUAGAGAAGAGAGAAGAAGGACAUUUGUACUGGGAGGAGUCGACCGGUCCCAGUAAGGAGAAAGUAGCUACAGCGUCAUGGGUGAGCUGGGUCCCCCAAAAAGGAACUUUAAGGGAAUGGACUGAAUCAAGUCUGAGAUGUCCCCAAAGCAAGACCAAAGAACUGAGGAAGAGAAGCAUUCAUCAGAAACCAAAAUUCAGCUACAAGUGAGCAUCCAGAUGGAGGUAUUAUGAAGAGGAACUGAGACUGAGGGCAAAAGGUGCCAGCCAGAAUCCUGGAUAGGAGAGCAAGAACCAGGACCUCAUUUAAGAGACAACCUGCUUAAGGCAGAGUAAGCACAAAUGGGCACUCAACAUCAAUGAAGUAACAGCAAAGUCACAUAAUAAAAGCAUGGAAUUAAGACAAGCUGAAGAUUCGGAUGCAAUAAAACAACCACCCAUUA